rnacentral:rRNA from 1 species
AUGCAUGCAGUCGUACGGUUCUUCGCAAGAAGAGCAGUGGCAAACGGGUGAGUAACACGAAAGUAACCUGCCCCUAAGUGGGGAAUAACCCUUCGAAAGAAGGGUUAAUACCGCAUGUGGCUCCGCCACGCAGGUGGCGGAAUUAAAGUUCUUCGCAAGAAGAGCGCUUGGGGAGGGGCUUGCGUCCUAUCAGGUAGUUGGUGGGGUAACGGCCUACCAAGCCAAUGACGGGUAGCUGGUCUGAGAGGAUGUCCAGCCACACUGGGACUGAGACACGGCCCAGACUCCUACGGGAGGCAGCAGCAAGGAAUCUUGUGCAAUGGGCGAAAGCCUGACACAGCGACGCCGCGUGGGGGAAGAAGGCCUUCGGGUUGUAAACCCCUUUUCUUAGGGAAGAAUAAUGACGGUACCUGAGGAAUAAGCCUCGGCUAACUACGUGCCAGCAGCCGCGGUAAUACGUAGGAGGCAAGCGUUAUCCGGAUUUACUGGGCGUAUAGCGAGCGUAGGCGGUCCUUCAAGUCGGAUGUGAAAUCUCCUGGCUUAACUGGGAGGGGUCAUCCGAUACUGCUGGACUUGAGGGCAGAAGAGGGAGGUAGAACUCCCGGUGUAGUGGUGAAAUGCGUAGAUAUCGGGAGGAAUACCAGUGGCGCAGGCGGCCUCCUAGGAUGUACCUGACGCUGAGGCUCGAAAGCGUGGGGAGCGAACAGGAUCAGAUACCCUGGUAGUCCACGCCCUAAACGGUGGACACUAGGUACAGGGAGUAUCGACCCUUCCUGUGCCGUAGCUAACGCGUUAAGUGUCCCGCCUGGGGACUACGGUCGCAAGACUAAAACUCAAAGGA